UGGCAGACGGGUGAGUAAUGUAUAGGAAUCUACCUAGUAGUACGGAAUAAUUGUUGGAAACGGCAACUAAUACCGUAUACGCCCUACGGGGGAAAAAUUUAUUGCUAUUAGAUGAACCUAUAUUAGAUUAGUUAGUUGGUGAGGUAAAGGCUUACCAAGACAAUGAUCUAUAGCUGAUCUGAGAGGAUGAUCAGCCACACUGGAACUGAGAUACGGUCCAGACUCCUACGGGAG
rnacentral:rRNA from 1 species